GGAACUCGGCAAACUAACUACCGUAACUUCGGGACAAGGAGAGCUCAUUAGUCUUGAUUAAUAUCAGGUAAAAAGGAAGAAGCAUAAAAUAGUGUUGUACGACUGUUUAAUUAAAACACAGCACUUUGCUAAAAGAUGAAAAAUCUAAGUAUUGAGUGUGAUGUCUGCCCGAUCCCGGCUGGUUAACAGAUACUACUGAAUCGUUAAAAGAUUUGGUGUUGACGGAACCCCCGGUCAAUGGCGGCUUGCGAUCAGGAACGAGAGGAGCAUCACCAGAAACCAGUCGCC
rnacentral:ncRNA from 1 species